rnacentral:rRNA from 1 species
UUGGAGGGCAAGUCUGGUGCCAGCAGCCGCGGUAAUUCCAGCUCCAAUAGCGUAUAUUAAAGUUGUUGCAGUUAAAAAGCUCGUAGUUGAAUUUCGGGAUUAGUACGCUGGUCGUGCCUUCGGUACGUACUGGUGUUACUGAUUUCUACCUUCUGACGAACCAUCAUGUCAUUAAUUUGGUGUGGUGGGGAAUCAGGACUGUUACUUUGAAAAAAUUAGAGUGUUUAAAGCAGGCUCGCGCUUGAAUACAUUAGCAUGGAAUAAUGAAAUAGGACGUUGAUCCUAUUUUGUUGGUUUCUAGGAUUGACGUAAUGAUUAAUAGGGAUAGUUGGGGGCAUUAGUAUUCAAUUGUCAGAGGUGAAAUUCUUGGAUUUAUUGAAGACUAACUACUGCGAAAGCAUUUGCCAAGGAUGUUUUCAUUAAUCAAGAACGAAAGUUAGGGGACCGAAGACGAUCAGAUACCGUCGUAGUCUUAACCAUAAACUAUGCCGACUAGGGAUCGGAUGAUGUUAUUUUUAAUGACUCAUUCGGCGCCUUACGGGAAAC